rnacentral:pre_miRNA from 1 species
CUCACGGAGGCUCUUGACCUGGGGCUGGGACAGCUGCUUGCACUUGUUCAGCUGCUUGGUCCACUGGUCAGCUCCUUGGUGAA